CCUCUCGUAGUUUAGUUGUCAAAACAUUGGUGCGUAAUGCCAAAGGUCCCGGGUUCGAUUCCCGGCGGGGGUG
rfam:Agrilus planipennis Contig27960, whole genome shotgun sequence.